GCGUUGGUGCAAUUUCCCUGGCCCGUUGUCGAAAUCUUUUGAAAUCGGGGUUUUGGGGGGGGGUGACGCAACCCCGGGCGGGUGUCCCCCUGUUUUAUUUUUUUGGGGGUGGGGGGAGGAAAAAAAAGGGGACGUGGGCCCCCCCCCCGCGGUCUCGCUGAUGGGUUUUGGGUGCAGAGCUGGAGUGCGGGCAGCAGCGGGAGCUGGGCCGCGUGGUGGGGGGCACGGCCGCCCGGCCCGGCGAGUGGCCCUGGCAAGUGAGCCUCCAGCUGCGGGGGCAACAUUUCUGCGGGGGGACCCUCAUCGCCCCCCAGUGGGUGCUCUCGGCCGCCCACUGCUUCCAGGGCCCCAACGGGAGCCGCGCGGACCCCGGGGACUGGAGGGCGGUGCUGGGCCGGCUCCGUCUCCACGAGCCCGGUGGCCAGGAAGUCCCGGUGGCCGAGGUGGUGGUCCACGAGGACUACCGGCAGGUGGAAGGUGGCCACGACCUGGCGCUAGCCCGCUUGGAGACCCCGGUGGUCCUGGGCCCCCGGGUGGGCACCAUCUGCUUGCCCCAACCCCGCUACCCCUUCGCCUUCGGCACGCCCUGCUGGCUUACUGGGUGGGGCAACGUGGCCGAGAACGUGUCCCUCCCGGCGGGGUCCCCCCUUCAGAAGGUCUCCUUGGACCUCCUGAGCGCCCCCACCUGCAACUGCCUCUACUCCAACCUGCGGCGC
rnacentral:lncRNA from 1 species